CAGUCGGCUAUUGCCAUGUAUCGAUUUCAGCUUCUUCUCUAUUCACCAAUCCUCAAAAGAACAACAACCCAAAAGCAAAAACAAACAGAGAGAAAUACAGAAAGAGAGACCUGAAACCCCUCCUUUUUUCUCCGUCAUUGUUCUACAAGCUUCUCAUUCCAUUGUUGCCAUCAAAAUAAUCUUGAGAGAGAGAGAGAGAGAGAGAAAUAGCGUGUGUUGUUUGCUUUGUGGGAAGAGAUAGAGAGAUCGAUUGUUGCUGCAAUCACGAACAGGUUGAGGAUCUUACAGCCAAGUUGUUGCUCUGAGAAGUCUCUAUCUAAACCGACAUCAAGCUCCAUAAAAACUGGAGAUUUGCGUUUUGAUUGGGUCCAGUUUGUGAUAAGAAGAUUGGGUUGAAAACACUCCAAAAAAAAUUCCGCAGCAAAGCGCGGGUUGCAUUUCUAGUUAUUAUAGAUAAUACUAAAGCUGGUUGUAUUGUUCAUCACCAUUCAUGUAACAGUGAAGUGACGGUUUUGCCCCUGAUUUUUUACUGAAAUUACAGUUCUGCCAUAUCCCUGUUUUUUUUUUUUUACAAUUCUGCCAUAUCCUUUUUUUUUUUUUUAAGGGAAAACAAUUCUGUUUUGUAUUUGUAAAUUUCCACAAAUCAUGGAAAAAGUUUAUUAUUGUUUGCAUUUGUUGCUAAUCUAUUAUUAACAAUUAUUCUAAA